rnacentral:rRNA from 1 species
AUGAGAGCUGAGUGCAAGUUAGUGGCGGACGGGUGAGUAACGCGUGGGCAACCUACCCAUAAGAGGGGGAUAACAGCUGGAAACGGCUGCUAAUACCGCAUAAGCUUUUUAGGACGUAUGUUUUAGAAAGUAAAGGAGGCGCAAGCUUCCGCUUAUGGAUGGGCCCGCAUCUGAUUAGCUAGUUGGUAGGGUAGAGGCCUACCAAGGCAACGAUCAGUAGCCGGCCUGAGAGGGUGGACGGCCACACUGGGACUGAGAACGGCCCAGACUCCUACGGGAGGCAGCAGUGGGGAAUAUUGCGCAAUGGGGGAAACCCUGACGCAGCGACGCCGCGUGAAGCGAAGAAGGCCUUCGGGUUGUAAAGCUCUGUUGUAAGGGACGAAUGUCUAGGGUAGUAACUGACCUUAGAAUGACGGUACCUUACCAGCAAGCCCCGGCUAACUACGUGCCAGCCGCAGC